rnacentral:rRNA from 1 species
CACGUAGGGGGCAAGCGUUGUCCGGAUUUAUUGGGCGUAAAGGGCGCGUAGGCGGCCUGUUAAGUCGAACGUGAAAUCCCCGGGCUCAACCCGGGAACUGCGUCCGAUACUGGCAGGCUUGAAUCCGGGAGAGGGAUGCGGAAUUCCAGGUGUAGCGGUGAAAUGCGUAGAUAUCUGGAGGAACACCGGUGGCGAAGGCGGCACCCUGGACCGGCAUUGACGCUGAGGCGCGAAAGCCAGGGGAGCAAACGGG